ensembl:snRNA U6 U6 spliceosomal RNA
CUGCUCGCUUCAGCAGCACGUAUACUAAAAUAGGAAUGAUACAGAGAAGAUUAGCAUGGCCCCCGCACAAGGAUGACAUGAAAAUUCGUGAAGUGUUCCAUAUUAUU